rnacentral:rRNA from 1 species
GUGGGGAAUAUUGGACAAUGGGGGGAACCCUGAUCCAGCCAUGCCGCGUGUGUGAAGAAGGCCUUUUGGUUGUAAAGCACUUUAAGCGGGGAGGAGGCUCUUGAGGAUAAUACCCUUGAUGAGUGGACGUUACCCGCAGAAUAAGCACCGGCUAACUCUGUGCCAGCAGCCGCGGUAAUACAGAGGGUGCGAGCGUUAAUCGGAUUUACUGGGCGUAAAGCGUGCGUAGGCGGCUGAAUAAGUCGGAUGUGAAAUCCCCGAGCUUAACUUGGGAAUUGCAUACGAUACUGUUUGGCUAGAGUAUGGGAGAGGAUGGUAGAAUUCCAGGUGUAGCGGUGAAAUGCGUAGAGAUCUGGAGGAAUACCGAUGGCGAGGGCAGCCAUCUGGCCUAAUACUGACGCUGAGGUACGAAAGCAUGGGGAGCAAACAGGAUUAGAUACCCGUGUAGUCC